CCUUACGGGCGGUGUGUGCAACUGAAUGAUGUGGAGACAUGUCAGCCGCAAGGCAGUUGUGAAGGUGCUGCAUGGUUGUCGUCAGCUCGUGCCGUGAGGUGUCGGCUUAAGUGCCAUAACGAGCGCAACCCUUAUCGAUAGUUACCAUCAGGUGAUGCUGGGGACUCUGUCGAGACUGCCGUCGUAAGAUGUGAGGAAGGUGGGGAUGACGUCAAAUCAGCACGGCCCUUACGUCCGGGGCUACACACGUGUUACAAUGGGGGGUACAGAAGGCAGCUACACGGCGACGUGAUGCUAAUCCCGAAAGCCUCUCUCAGUUCGGAUUGGAGUCUGCAACCCGACUCCAUGAAGCUGGAUUCGCUAGUAAUCGCGCAUCAGCCACGGCGCGGUGAAUACGUUCCCGGGCCUUGUACACACCGCCCGUA
rnacentral:rRNA from 1 species